UAUGAAGGGGGCUAGCGUUACUCGGAUUGACUGGGCGUAAAGGGCGCGUAGGCGGUUUGUACAGUCAGACGUGAAAUUCCUGGGCUCAACCUGGGGGCUGCGUUUGAUACGUGCAGACUUGAGUUCGGAAGAGGGUUGUGGAAUUCCCAGUGUAGAGGUGAAAUUCGUAGAUAUUGGGAAGAACACCGGUGGCGAAGGCGGCGACCUGGUCCGAUACUGACGCUGAGGCGCGAAAGCGUGGGGAGCAAACAGG
rnacentral:rRNA from 1 species